rnacentral:lncRNA from 1 species
AAAACAACCCAUAUAACUUUAGAUUUUUUAGAAAAUAGGCAAAUGCUAACCCUUUCCAAGUCAUGUCCUGUCCAUGAUUAAAAUGUAAAGCUAAUGGCAUCUUCUUUGGUUAGUGUAACAGUCCAAGUAAAUCGUGCUUAAGUAAUGCUCGACGAGUUGCUCAUCCAAGCAAAACGUGUAUUUGUAGGAGAAGGUUUCCACCCCUUAUAAGGAAGGUUUCAUUCUCCUUCUGAACCAAUGUGGGACUUACAUCUACACCCCUUUUAGGGAGUCCAGUGAUGGCACACCAGCUCAGCCCUCGGCUCUAAUAUCAUUUGUAACAGCGCAAGUAAACACUGCCUAGAUAUUGUUCGCUUGGCCCCCGAUAGGUUGCCCAUCAAGGAACUCCACGGUUUUUUUUUUUACUCGACGAUUUGCUCGUCCAGUCAAAACACGUCUUGGUAAAAAAGGUUUCCACCUCCACCCCCUAUAAAGAAGGCUUCAUUCUCCUUCUUAACCGAUAUCGGGGACAGAACAGAAAAUGUCUUAGCAUAGUUUAGUUGGUUGUUACAGUUAUCUACGCCAAGUUAACUUUCACAGGGUUGCAUUGGUUCAAAUAGGGUUGAUUUUAAAAAGAUUCAAGUGUUCAGCGAUAUAGGAAAAAAAAGUUGGAAUGUAAAAUCUCCCUCAGAAAAAUAUUUAAAAUUCAACAAAGAGGUUCAGAUAAGGCUGAAACUUAUUUUUCUUCAAUCAUGGAGAGAUAAAUUCAACAAAGAAGUUCAACAUAAUUUACUUUUCUUUUUUUCACAUUAGUUUUUUUUUUCUUAACUCCAAAAUCACAAUCCAUCGAACACUCAUUUGGUGUAAUACAGUCACUUGUCUACUAAUAAACAAAAAUAAAAGAAGGAUAAUUUGACUAAGAAAUAACAAAUGUAGGGCGUUAAAAAUAAUAGGAUGCGAAUGUAGAGUCACAUCUAUCUAUCUUUAAAAAAAAGGCCCAAUAAACACCGAAGUAUUUAAAUUGCAAUAAUAUCCGCAAAGAUAUGGCCGCAGUGCCCACUACACGUCGCAUGCGGAUGGAAGGUUUGCAGAAAUAACAUAUAAAUAAAUAAGUUUGUAGCCUAUGAAGAUCUAGUUGUACCCUUUAUAACUUUGGAAAGGCAUACAUACAUACAUAUAUGAAAGCAAUAGGAAAAGAAGAAGUUGACAUAAAGUAAAAAACUGCAAUAAGCAGAUUUUGAAGCACAAAGGAGGAGGAGAAAGUAGAAG